rnacentral:lncRNA from 1 species
UAAAAUCUUCAUCCCCGAGGUCUGAAAUGCCGUGUUUGCAAAACCAGGUCUUUAUUUUGGAAAAAUAAGAAAAAGAGUCAUAGAUCAAGUGAAUACCGUUUGGAUUUUGGUCAAAAGAAGCCGAUCCAACUUUGGCGGCAUCUUAAACCAUUCUUGCUGAGAUAGCCCUAGAGUAUCUUUCAGUUGUCGAAAAGCUAUUUUUGUAAAAGAAUGGACAAUUUUGUGGAGUAUCAUAAAAUUAUCCUCGCCGGCCUCAAAAUUCAUGCGAAAUUGGGAAGGGGCCACAUUUAAAAGAUAACCAUUUGGUUAAAAUUGACAUAUAAGGGAAAAAAUCUUUCAGUUUGUUUUUCUUUUGAUUAGAGUAUGUAGGUUUUUUGAUAAGUGC